UCAGUCUUGAUAAAUGACAGCCUCCUCCCUUUCUGCAGAUGUCUCCAUGACCCAUUGCCUGCAGCUCUCUGCUCUGCUGACAGCCUCGGGGAGCAGCGUGUCUGGGUCUCAUAUGGAUGUCACUUAAACUGAAACUAAUUAAGAAACAUCUGCAGACAACAAAACAGUGUCAAGUGUGAACAACAAAAUUUCUUCUAAGAGAAGAGUAGAGCACACUCUCAACAAUUCUGGGAAAGCUCUGUCCAAACAAAUGCCAUGUUUAUGUCCUCACUGGAGUUCCAGUGUGUUUCAACCUGUCUCUCAAGAGCACUGCAAACCAAGACAGUUUGACCCAGACAUUGCAAUCAGCAAUACUAAUUAAAUUUCAAACACCAUCAUCAGCUAGUCUGGUUUAGGUAUAGUGCUCUUAUAAGAGAUAGGAACAUAAAACAAUGAUUGCUUGCUUAUGAAAAAGAUAUUUUACUUUAAACUGAUAUUUUUUUUCUUUUUAUAAUUCUCAAGAACUCACUAGAGAGUCUUGUAAAGGUUAUACUGAGACAUUUUGCCUAUCUCUAACCCAAUUUCAUUUCUUUUAUGCUUCAUCUGAAGUCACUGGAAUUGUCAUGUUUCUUUAUGGGAUAAUUAUAACAUCCCUGUAAGGUUUUAUUACCUUAACACACUGGUAUAUAUUCUCAACCCUAACUCUAGUUUAAUAUGUAUAUUUAAAUAAUUAAUAUGUAGCCUAGACAAGCAUGUGGUGCAGCAGAGAAAUUAGAAGUCAGGAGUGUCUCUGAGGGAAAGAUGCACCCUGUCCACAUUACUAUCCUUCCCAUAAGAAUGGCUAAGAGGGUUUAGACUCAAAAAAAAUUGGACCAUAACAUUUCUUGUUCCUUCCUGCUGGUAAAACAAACUUUUACACAGUGUUGUCAACCUGAAGAAGCAAAAAAAUAUGAGAUGAGGCUUCCACAUCAGGAUCACACGGUUGAAAAACAAUGUGGGGAAAAGGGCCAGUGGAUUUUGUGUUUGCAAUUGUGAGGAUAAGAAAAUGGGUUUUGCCUUUUUUUCUUUAUGCAGAAUGAGUUUCCCACAGGUCUAAGGGAAAAAAAUAAAAAUAAUUUGGUAAGGGCUUGGAGGCUAACA
rnacentral:lncRNA from 1 species